rnacentral:rRNA from 1 species
AAACAGAGCCCCUUUUCUCCCCCACCCGCGUCCACCUUCUUCCUCCACCCGCUUCCACCACCGAGCCGCGCCGCACCCGCCCUGAAACCGGCCGUUGCGCCACCUUCGACCCUUGAUCCGGCCGCCGCGCCAUCUCCGACCCCCGAUCCGGCCACCGCGCCGCUUUCUACCACCGGAUCCUCCCGCGGACCCACCUUCUCCCCCUGGAUCCGCCUCCGGCGGCCCCUCCUCCCCUGGAUCCGCCCGCGGCGCUAACCGCCCAUGCCCCGCCCCGCCCUGGACCCACUCACCUCCCACCGCCGGUGUCGCGCCGCCCCGAACCUCCCCAUCGCCUGUGCCGUGCCGCCCCGAACCUCCCCGUCGCCGGUGUC